GUCUGUAAACCAGGGCUAGAGAAAACAGCAAAUCUGCCUGCGUGUACAGGGUUGUUCGCGGGGAUUCGCAGAGAUUCAGGGCGUAUAAGGCGCCUUUAUGAGAUGUGAGGAAAGAGACUGGGGAAACUCAGGCAGAGUCCCCAAGCCCGGGUGACACUAAUGCAAGGUGGGCGGAGGGGCAAGGAUUGGAAACUCAGGCCGUGGGACAGAAGUCUCCCUUAAACCCCACAAGGAUUGUACGAAGCAGAUCCUACGAAGUCUGUUGACAGGGCACGUCCCUCUAGGCGCCGGGUUCCCUUCUGCAGCACAGCCCCCAGCCCUGCCUUCCAAGCCCAUGGAAGGUGAUCCAGAGAACCGGCAAGAACAUCGCAGGGCAGAUAGGAAAGGGCUGGGGAAGUGGCCCCCAGCCCUCGGCCCCUGGCCUCGACCCCUAGUCCCUGGCUCCUGGCCCCCAGCUCCCGGCCCCCGGCCCCUGGCCCCC